UGCUGCUCGCUGGAUGCUAUAGGUUUCAGCCAUCAUUCUUCGAACAUCAGACUCUGGAAAAUGAUUUGUUUGGAAGGCAGUUUUCAGUUGUUCCUGUGAUUGAAUGUUCUGAAAC